ensembl:lncRNA
CAGAGUGACUUGGCUCAAGAACCAUAAAAUGGUGAUAGAAGCUGUCAUUCCUAUCCUUUUGCCUUCCCCCAAAGCAGGAAUCCUGGGGCUCCUGGGAACAUCGGUUGGGGGCCAGCCCUGGCAUCCCAUGGCAGCACAGUGCCCAGCAUGACUGCAGUUCUGACACGUCCACGCCAGACGGGCCUUUGGUGUCACCAAGUCUCAGGCUGCCUCAGGCCUCUUCAGCCUGCAGCCUGCAAAAACCCAAGAACUUUAGACACAGAAGAGCUUGGGAAGAAGGUGGAGCCAAGAACAGCACUGGGAAAAGUAUAUGGGUGGAAAUUUCCAUGACUCUUCUGCCAAAGCAGAGGCUUCAGCUGAGGCCCAAGACAGAGACAGACCUGGGAGCUAGAAACCAUCAAGGUCACAAAGAAUCACCCUUCCUCAUUCUCCCAGAUCUUUGUCAUCAGCUGCCCCACCCUGAACCUGGGCCAUAAAACUCAAUCAGUUGUGUCCCCUCUAUUCCAGCCCCACUUGAUAUCAGUCUCCUAGUUUCAUGAGACAUCCCACCACCUCUCCCUCAAGGACACAGCCAACCUCCCGGCCAGUGGAAGCCCCUGCUUUAGGAGCCACAUCAAGGCCCCUUGUCUCCUGCAGGAAGCCUUCCCUGCUGAAUGGCCCAUCUGUCCUUUGGUCACCCUUGGCCAUCAUUGUCCAGUGACCUCCCCAGCACUCUUGUGAUCAUGCCCUUUGCUUAGUGACUCAUCUGUUACCUUCAGCCAUGGUCUGUGACUUUUAUUGCUGUUUAUCACUUAUCCUUGAAAACACAGUCCAAGUCUUCCUAUAGCCCUGCCUCAGCUCAAAAUAGUGGGCUACAUAGCUUGUGUAGCAUCCACACAGAACAUCCUGUGUGUCUUCCAGCUGGUGAGACUCUUGAGAGGCUCACCCCAGAUUCCAACUGCUGGUCCCCAGGACUCACCUUCAACCCAAGCCUGCACUUCCCCAGCAGGAGUCCAGCACGAAUAUUUACAGGCUUGACCUCUUUCCCCACUCCACCCCAACCCCUGUCCGAAUCCCAGAGAGGAUGAAUGAUGGGGACUCAGCCCGGGGUCCUGGCCACAGCCUUCCCUGGGGCCUGUGCGGCCAUGCCCACCAGCCCUCAGCCCCAACCCAACAACAUGGAUGUCCUGGAGCCAAGCAGGUGUCCCCUCCCUGUUCUUCCACUCAGUCAAAAGUCACCUUCCCUCAGUCCCCUAGAAGAUCAUGGAUCUCUCCCCCUCUGCACCCCAUCUGGUUCUAUAACUCUUUGGCCUUUAUAGAGGGGUCAUGGAGAGAGUGGCUUUGAGAGUCCCACACACUUGGUCUCAGCCUGGCUCCCCCCUUGCUGGCUAUGCCCCGUUAUGUGGCAAGUAAGUUAACCUCUCUGAAUCAAGUUUAUUCUUCAGUGAAAUAGGGGUGAUCUGUGUAGUAUUCCCUUCUCAGAGUUGUGAGGAUGUCCAGAGCUUAGUAGAGCACCUGGCUCAAAUGAUGCACCCUGUAAACGGUGGCCGUCACCACCUUCCUUCCCCCCACUCCCGUACUAAGUAGGUAGCCCCCUCCCAGAUUCCCAGAUCUGACUGGAGCCAGGCACAUCUCAGGAAGGGGUUAAACACGGCAAUGACUUCAUCCUUGCCUUGGAGGAGGAAGGAGGCAGAGAAAAUAACAAAAUCAGGCCAGAGACUGGGUGGAAUUUUCCAGUGCUCAUAAACAGGGCCAUCUGGGUUGCUAACUGUGGUCACCAUGGAAACGGUCACGUGUGCCUGCCUUCUGGUUAUUCCAACCUGGCUCAAGGCCGAUGACACAAGCCCCAAGCCUCUUCAUUGGCUGCCACAUUCUCUUGCCACCAAAAUCUAGCAGGAGAUUGGCCAAGUGCAGUUACUGGGCUGGAGUUAGACCUUCCCCACGCCACUGCUGGAACCUGCUGGAAGCUGUUGUUUUGAACCAGAGGAAGAUGGAAAAUAGGCUGCCAGAGAUGUUGCCAUAGCAACUGCUUUCCUUUCUGCUCUCUUAGGAGUUAAUAGUUGACGUCUUUGUAGUUGAAGUACUUUUCCAAAGGCAGAAGGAGUGGCAGCCAUUUUACACUGACUUAAGCAUCUUCUUUGAAGGUGAAUACUCUCAUCAUCCACACUAGUCAAGGAAUUUCUGAGCCUCUACUUAUGGCUUUGGUUAUCAGUCCACCCCUGCUUUCUUUUUGUGAAAUGGAGUAUUCAUUCAGGACACCCUAUCUUCUAGGGCUGGAGUUAGUUUGCAAAUGGGCUUCCCUGGUGGCUCAGUGCUAAAGAAUCCACCUGCUAAUGCAGGAGAUGCCGGUUUGAUUCUUGGUCCAGGAAGAUCCCUUGGAGACUGAAAUGGCAACCCACUCCUGUGUUCUUGCCUGGGAAAUCCCAUGGUCAGGGGAGCCUGGUAGGCUACAGUCCAUGGGGUCACAAAGAGUCAGGCACGACUUAGUGAUUAUUUUUUUAAGUUUGCAAAUGGUCAUUGUAAACUGUAAAGCUCUGUGCAUUCACCAUGUGUCUUUAAUUAACCAGCGUUGACAUUAGUGUAGGGUGGAACAACGCUAUGAAGUGGAGUUGGGGGCCUUACUGACUUGUUUAGCAAAGCCCAGAGCCUUAGGACCCAGGGACCCCUUGGAAGUCCACUUACUGUUCUGUCACUGGGACCAUCAGCAGUUCACUUAGCUUCCCAGGGACUCCCUUUCUCUUUCUGUAAAAGAAUUCCUCUAUAGAGGACCUUGGAAAGUCCAUUCUAGCUCUGACAUUUCAUGAAUCUAAGUUAAAGGCCUACCUGCUUGUUGCAAUGAAAAGGGAAAAAGAAAUGCGUUUCUCUCUUUCUCUUUCCUAAGAGCAAAGUAGACAAAGAGAAAUGUGAGCAGGCCUGAACAUUCCUUUUUUUUUUUUUCUUAAUUUUACUUUAACUGCUCCUAACUCUACAUGUCUAUAACUGAGUUUGCUUUUCUGCUCCCUAACUCUACAGGAGUUAUAAUUCAGUUUUUCCUUUGACUCCAUGCUAAAUACAUCCUGUAUCUGGUGUUUACCCUUACAACACCCUUCCCCUUUUAGUUACAUACCAGAAAGGAGGCUGUAGAGCCACUGAACUACCAGACUCAAUUACUAGGUUACUGAUGCCAGACUGUGACUGUCUUAGAAAGAAUGCAAGGGGAAGAAAUCAAGAUCUUAUCACCUUUGUUCCUCAUCACCGAAUCCUGACUUCGAGCCCUUGCCUUAUAUAAGCCCCUAGACUCCUUAUGGGGGUAGGGGGGCACAGUUCUUGAGGCAUGAACCCUACUGUGUUCCCUUCUCUGCCAGCUGAGAAUUAAAGCCACCUUUCUAUUUCCUCCAAAUUCUAUUUUUUAUUUGGCUUCAAUGGGUAAAGAAGGCCAAGAUUUUGGCCAGCAACAUGUUCUCCAAAAUAAAUCGGUGGACCUCAUCAUCCCCACAGGAGGUAAAAACAUAGGCAACUGCCGUACACCGAGCACUGUUCUCUGUGGCAGGCACUGCUCACACCCAGUUCAAUCUUCACUGCAGCCUUAGAGGGGAGGAUCAUUAUUACAGUUCCCACUCAUUUUACAGAUGAGGAAACUGAGGCCCUGAGAAGAUAUGUAGACCCAAGGUCACACAGUAGCAGGUGGCAAGAUUUAAAGCCUGGUGGUUUGGCAGCAAGUCCAUGCAGCUAUCUUUCCAGGCACCAGCUGAAAUGAAGACAAAGACAACAUGAGUCAAUCAAAGAAGUUUGAUAGUUCAAUUAGACAUUGUACAGGAGGCAGUGAUUCAAGACCAUCCCCAAGAAGAAGAAAUGCAAAAAGGCAAAAUGGUUGUCUGAGGAGGCCUUACAAAUAGCUGUGAAAAGAAGAGAAGCGAGAGGCAAAGGAGAAAAGGAAAGAUAUAAGCAUCUGAAUGCAGAGUUCCAAACAUAGCAAGGAGAGAUAAGAAAGCCUUCCUCAGGGAUCAAUGCAAAGAAAUAGAGGAAAACAACAGAAGGGGAAAGACUAGAGAUCUCUUCAAGAAAAUUAGAGAUACCAAGGGAACAUUUCACCCAAAUAUGGGCACAAUAAAGGACAGAAAUGGCAUGGAUCUAACAGAAGCAGAAGAUAUUAAGAAGAGGUGGUAAGAACACACAGAAGAACUAUACAAAAAAGAUCAUCACCAGAUAAUCACGAUGGUGUGAUCACCAACCUAGAGCCAGACAUCUUGGAAUGAGAAGUCAAGUGGGCCUUAGGAAGCAUCACUAUGAACAAAGCUAGUGGAGGUGGUGGAAUUCCAGUUGAGCUAUUUCAAAUCCUAAAAGAUGAUGCUCUGAAAGUGUUGCAUUCAAUAUGGCAGCAAAUUUGGAAAACUCAGCAAGGGCCAAAGGACUGGAAAAGGCCAGUUUUCAUUCCAAUCCCUAAGAAAGACAAUGCCAAGGAAUGUUCAAGCUACCAAAUAAUUGCACUCAUCUCACAUGCUAGCAAAGUAAUGCACAAAAUUCUCCAAGGCAGGCUUCAACAGUAUGUGAACCGUGAAUUUCCAGAUGUUCAAGCUGGAUUUAGAAAAGGCAGAAGGACCAGUGAUCAAAUUGCCAACAUCUGUUGGACCAUAGAAAAAGCAAGAGUUCCAGAAAAACAUCUAUUUCUGCUUUAUUGACUAUGCCAAACCCUUUGACUGUGUGGAUCACACACAGAAACUGUGGAAAAUUCUUAAAGAGGUGGGAAUACUAGACCACCUGACCUGCCUCCUGAGAAAUCUGUGUGCAGGUCAAGAAGCAACAGUUAGAACUGGACAUGGAACAACAGACUGGUUCCAAAUCGGGAAAGGAGUACAAGGCUGUAUAUUGUCACGCUGCUUAUUUAACUUAUAUGCAGAGUACAUCGUGAGAAACACUGGGCUGGAAAAAGCACAAGCUGAAAUCAAGAUUGCCGGGAGAAAUAUCAAUAACCUCAGACAUGCAGAUGACACCACACUUAUGGCCAAAAGCGAAGAACUAAAGAGCCUCUUCAGGAAAGUGAAAAAGUUGGCUUAAAACUCAACAUUCAGAAAACUAAGAUUAUGGCAUCUGGUCCCAUCACUUCAUGGCAAAUAGAUGGGGAAACAAUGAAAACUGACAGACUUUAUUUUGGGGGGCUCCAAAAUCACUGCAAAUGGUGACUGCAGCCAUGAAAUUAAGAGACACUUGCUCCUUGGAAGAAAAGUUAUGACCGGCCUAGACAGCAUAUUAAAAAGCAAAGACAUUACUUUACCAACAAAGGUCCAUCUAGUCAAAGUUAUGGUUUUUCCAGUAGUCAUGUAUGGAUGUGAGAGUUGGGCUUUAAAGAAAGCUGAGCACUGAAGAACUGCUGCUUUUGAACUGUGGCAUUCAAGACUCUUGAGAUUCCCUUGGACUGCAAAGAGAUCCAACCAGUCCAUCCUAAAAGAACUCAGUUCUGAAUAUUCGUUGGAAGGACUGAUGCUGAAGCUGAAACUCCAAUACCUGGCUACCUGAUGCAAAGAACUAACUCACUGGCAAAGACCCUGAUGCUGGGAAAGAUUGAAGGCAGGAGAAGGGGACAACAGAGGAUGAGCUGGUUGGAUGGCAUCACCGACUCAAUGGACAUGAGUUUGAGUAGGCUCUGGGAGUUGGUGAUGGACAGGGAGGCCUGGCGUCCAUGGGUUCUCAAAGAGUCAGACAUGACUGAGCGAC